CACCUUCCAUUUCAUUCUCCUCCUCCUCCUUUCCUGCAGCCCAAAGAUGUCAAAUUAAAUGGUGAGUACAGUAUGAAAUUGUUGUUUCUAGAAUAGAAUAGAAUGCCUUUUAUUGUCACUAUACACAUGUACAAUGAGAUUAAAAGCAGCUCCUUCAUUGCAAAAAAAAAAGUUCUGCAUAGGGCUUGUAUGGUUGUUUCUUUAGCCUUAGCAUAACGCCGGAUCUGCGGCCCCGCUUCUGCUUCCUUUCCCUCCUCUGUCUGCGUCGUCUCCUAGACCCGACAACAAUCCACUGAGAGCCCGCUGGUCUCGCUAUGUCUGGGAUGUUGUGCGUGUGAUGAAAAACACUUCAAACAGAUGUCUGGCUCUGGACACCGAUGUCUAUAAGGUUCUGACGGGUGUAGCGGAUGUUCGCUGAACCGAUCGUGCACAAACAAGCAAGAAAAAAAAGUACAAAAACAACAAAAAAGUGCACUGAAAAGGAGAGCCCUGAGCCGCUGUGACCAUGCGCGCCGCCAUGCUCCUAGCUUAAUCUAGCCUACUUCUGGUAGGCUAGGCACUUUUUAUAACUUUUUUGUUAGUACAUUAGAAAAA